AGAUUGUACACACCGCCCGUCACA
rnacentral:rRNA from 1 species